AGACCGUUAGCUCAAUGGUAGAGCACCAGACUAUGAAUCUGGCUGUAGCAAGUUCGAAUCUUGCACGGUUCA
rnacentral:tRNA from 1 species